GAUGAACGCUGGCGGCGUGCCUAAUACAUGCAAGUCGAGCGAACGGACGAGAAGCUUGCUUCUCUGAUGUUAGCGGCGGACGGGUGAGUAACACGUGGAUAACCUAUCUAUAAGACUGGGAUAACUUCGGGAAACCGGAGCUAAUACCGGAUAAUAUUUUGAACCGCAUGGUUCAAAAGUGAAAGACGGUCUUGCUGUCACUUAUAGAUGGAUCCGCGCUGCAUUAGCUAGUUGGUAAGGUAACGGCUUACCAAGGCAACGAUGCAUAGCCGACCUGAGAGGGUGAUCGGCCACACUGGACCUGAGACACGGUCCAGACUCCUACGGGAGGCAGCAGUAGGGAAUCUUCCGCAAUGGGCGAAAGCCUGACGGAGCAACGCCGCGUGAGUGAUGAAGGUCUUCGGAUCGUAAAACUCUGUUAUUAGGGAAGAACAUAUGUGUAAGUAACUGUGCACAUCUGGACGGUACCUAAUCAGAAAGCCACGGCUAACUCCGU
rnacentral:rRNA from 1 species